rnacentral:misc_RNA from 1 species
GAAAUGCGAUAAUUAAUGUGAAUUGCAGAAUUCAGUGAAUCAUCGAGUCUUUGAACGCACAUUGCGCCCCCUGAUAUUCCGGGGGGCAUGCCUGUCCGAGCGUCAUUGCUGCCCUCAAGCACGGCUUGUGUGUUGGGCUUCCGUCCCUGGCAACGGGGACGGGCCCAAAAGGCAGUGGCGGCACCAUGUCUGGUCCUCGAGCGUAUGGGGCUUUGUCACCCGCUCCCGUAGGUCCAGCUGGCAGCUAGCCUCGCAACCAAUCUUUUUAACCAGGUUGACCUCGGAUCAGGUAGGGAUACCCGCUGAACUUAAGC